GAUGAAGAACGCAGCGAAAUGCGAUACGUAAUGUGAAUUGCAAAUUCAGUGAAUCAUCGAGUCUUUGAACGCACAUUGCGCCCCCUGGUAUUCCGGGGGGCAUGCCUGUCCGAGCGUCAUUGCUGCCCUCAAGCACGGCUUGAGUGUUGGGCCCCGUCCUCCGAUCCCGGGGGACGGGCCCGAAAGGCAGCGGCGGCACCGCGUCCGGUCCUCGAGCGUAUGGGGCUUUGUCACCCGCUCUGUAGGCCCGGCCGGCGCUUGCCGAUCAACCCAAAUUUUUUAUCCAGGUUGACCUCGGAUCAGGUAGGGAUACCCGCUGAACUUAAGCAUAUCAAUAAGCGGAGGA
rnacentral:misc_RNA from 1 species